GUGGGGAAUUUUGGACAAUGGGCGCAAGCCUGAUCCAGCAAUGCCGCGUGCAGGAAGAAGGCCUUCGGGUUGUAAACUGCUUUUGUACGGAACGAAACGGUCCUGGCUAAUAUCCGGGGCUAAUGACGGUACCAUUCGAGGAAGGACCGGCUAACUUCGUGCCAGCAGCCACGGUAAUACGAGGGGUCCUAGCGUUGUUCGGAAUCAUUGGGCGUAAAGGGUGUGUAGGUGGCCAUGUAAGUCAGGUGUGAAAGCCCCGGGCUCAACCCGGGAAGUGCACUUGAUACUGCGUGGCUUGAGUACCGAAGAGGGUAGUGGAAUUCCAGGUGUAGUGGUGAAAUACGUAGAUAUCUGGAGGAACACCGGUGGCGAAGGCGGCUACCUGGUCGAGUACUGACACUGAGACACGAAAGCAUGGGGAUCAAACAGGAUUAGAAACCCGAGUAGUCC
rnacentral:rRNA from 1 species